rnacentral:rRNA from 1 species
GAGACAGCAGUAGCCGCGGUAAUACGAAGGGGGCUAGCGUUGUUCGGAAUUACUGGGCGUAAAGCGCACGUAGGCGGAUAUUUAAGUCAGGGGUGAAAUCCCGCAGCUCAACUGCGGAACUGCCUUUGAUACUGGGUAUCUUGAGUAUGGAAGAGGUUAGUGGAAUUGCGAGUGUAGAGGUGAAAUUCGUAGAUAUUCGCAGGAACACCAGUGGCGAAGGCGGCUAACUGGUCCAUAACUGACGCUGAGGUGCGAAAGCGUGGGGAGCAAACAGGAUUAGAUACCCCUGUAGUCCCUGUCUCUUAUAC